UAAAGAACAUUAUGUUUCCUCCCCAGCCCCUUUAUCACCCCCUUUGAGUCCCAGAAACCCUAAAUCGCGAAGAAGCACCAUUGUUGAGUGGAUUGGAGCUUGGAGAAGUAAUUGUUGAAGAAAGUUUGGGUGUUUGAAGGUGUGGAACAAAGGGCUUUGCUUGGAUUCGAGUUUCCUUGCAGUUGGGGCGUUAUUUUGAGGUAAUAUCUCGUUCUUAGGCUAUUGCUAUCUUGUUUCUUCAUUUUGGGGUUUGAGGGAAGCUUAUCUUGGGCUAUAUGGGAAUCUAGAGGUUAGAUCUGAGGUUGCUACCUCAGAUCUGAGAUGGAGAAGGAUCAGAGAGCAUGAAAGUCCCUAUGUUGGAGUAUUUAGUGAAGCCAUCAUGUCCCAAACCCUAGCCCAAUGUGCAAAUGGCCUAGAUCUCUUUGGAUUCACGUAAAGUUUGCCACUUUACGUGAUGGAUGAGUGGUAGGAGGCUAGAUCUAGGUUUUGGAGCAAUUGCAUGGCCUGGAAUGGUUCUGUAUGGAUUCAGACCGGUGGUACUCGGCGAGUCACAUGGGUGUACUCGACGAGUUGGUUGAAGAUGAACUGGGACUCGACGAGUUGGAAGAACAACUCGGCGAGUCGGAUGAAGAUGGCCUGGAACUCGGCGAGUCGUAUGAACAACUCGGCGAGUAGGUUGAAGAUAGCCUUAGACUCGGCGAGUCUGUUCUUGAACUCGGCGAGUCUUGUCGAAGAGUCUCGAUGUUCUCUGGUUGAGUCGGGAAUCGGUGAGUCAAGGGAUGACUCGGUGAGUUGUGUGCGAGUGGACUCAGAGUCGUUGGACUCGGCGAGUCUCGGGGUGACUCGGCGAGUUAGGUCGCGGAUUGAGUGAAGUUCUAGGUAUGGAAACUCGGCGAGUCAUCGGGUUGACUCGGCGAGUAGAGUCAGUCAGGGGUUGACUUUGACCUUGUCUUUGACCAAGGGUUGACCAGUGGUUUCCAGGGGCAUUUUGGUAAUUGUUGACUAUUGUUUUGAGUUCAGUGCAUUGGUGGUUGUUUAGUGGUGGAGAUCGUAUCUGUGAUCGGAGCAGCUUGGGUUAUCGGUUCAGUCAGCAGUUUCGAGGUGAGUUAUCCUCACUAUAUCAACAGGGUCUACGGCACCAAGGCCGGCCCUUAUCGGAUUGAGAUCCGGGUUGUUGUUAUGUUAUUAUUAUGAUAUGUUUGCAUCCUGAGAGCUAGGGUGGUAUAUGUUAGAGACCUGAUUGAGAUCGGUAUCCUGAGAGAUAGGGAGAUGCUAUGCUAGUGACCGGUUAGGUCGGUAUCCUGGUUAGGAUGAUGAUAUGCUACGUGAUCUGUUUGAUCUGCUUGUUGACUGUGAAUUGCUAUAUGAUUGUAUGUAUAUGUGCACAUGGUUGUUUGGACUGGAGUUGGGUUGAGGCGGGUCCUGCUGUGUGCUGUAGGCCAAGAUACCCAGGGUGGACCGGUUGUCCCGAAGGCCCAACGAGCGGUCCGGAUAGGCUGUAGGCCCCAAGAGGGCGGACCAGACUUGCCGAGGCUCGGAGAGUGGACCAGGCCGACUGAAGGCCCGGUGCGGGCGGACCAGUCACACUGUAGACUCAGAGAGUGGACCAGGUGGAUUGAAGGCCCGGUGCGGGCGGACCAAUCACACUGCAGACUCGAUGUACACGGCUAGACACGGAGGGUGGACUGAAGGCCGAUACGGCGGGCCAGUCACACAAUAGACCCGAUAUGCAUGGCUGUUCUAUGUUUCGUUAUGUUACGUGUGUUAUUCAUGUUAUGGGCCGGAAGACAUUAUGUUCUGGACCGGAAGGUCGUAGCCUGGAAGGGCGUAUAGGUGGUUGGUAUAUUGGGGGUAUCUCACUAAGCUUUCGGGCUUACAGUUGUGGUUUCAUGUUUUUCAGGUUCUUCAGGAGACCAUGGCAAGGCGAAGGCGUGAUCGUACCGCUCCUCAUGUUUAUGUUGUGAUGUGAUUCUGGGAAUACUCUAAAUAAAUUGUAUUGAAAACCUUUUUGUAAUAAUUUAAUGAAAUCGGGUUGUUUUUGAAAAGUUUAAAUUGGUUGGAAUUUUUCGGUCGUUACAGAUUGGUAUCAGAGCCUUGGUUUGAGUGAAUUGGAGGAACACUCGUGUGACUCCAGUCUCAAAUCGAGGAGAGUUUUCAAAAGAGAAUUUAAAAUGGUUUUCAAAAUGAGUAAAAGAGGACGCGGAGGUACGAUCAGCCGGAGCCAGUAAGUAACCCCAAAAUACCAUACAUGUUAUUUGUUUUUGAGCUUUGAUAGAACAGCAUGCUAGUGUUAGGCUAGGGAUCUUCAGGAUUUCAUGAUAAUGUUGCCUGAUUUGUGAUGCCUGUAGCCUAGGGUUUCCUUGUGGGAGAUUUUCAGUGUUCCUCUAGUGGUGAGGGUUGAGAGUUAUUAUGCAUGUUUUCACUAGGGUGUUGUGGUAGUACUUCAUACAAAUAUGGGUAGGUGUGGAAGGUAGUAUGGGCCCGUACUACUGAAAGCACAGGACCCAUACGCGUAUCAGGGAAACCAUGACCUCUAGGGUUGGGUUGAGAGAGUUGGUUCCCGGGAUAGUGGGAAGUGUCUGAGAUUUUGUGGUGUUUUUCAGUAUGGAGAUUCCGAGGCAUGCUGGGAGUGGAUCCGGGUCAGGAUCGGGAGCAGGAGAGGGAGUUCCGGGCGGGUCAGUACCGCCCGAGGUUAUUGGUCAGAUGAGCACGUGCGAGUUGGAUGCGAGGAUUCGUGAGAUCCUGCAUGAUGAGAUUGCUGCGUUGUUCCGGGCUGAGUUGCCGGAGCUGUUUGGGUCGAUCAAGACCGCCAUGGUUGAGUAUUUUGAUGAGCGCUAUGCAGCUCUCACAGAGACGGCUGCCGCGGCGGCUACAGCGGCUGUAGCAGCGGCAGGGGGAGGAGCUGGUCGGGGUUUUCAGUAUCGGGACUUCGAUAAUACGAAGCCUCCCACCUUUGAUGGAGUUCAGGACCCGAUUGUUGCUAUGAGAUGGUUAUCGGACGUGGAGGGGUGUUUCUUCACGUGUUCAUGCCCUGCUGAUCAGAGGGUGAGGUGUGCUCUGAACCUGUUGAGGCUCGGGGCGAAGGAUUGGUGGAGAUUGACCACGGGGUCAUAUUCGGAUGCGCAGAGGGCUGCGGUUUCAUGGGAUCAGUUCAGAGAGAUGUUCAGCACUCGUUAUGUUCCGCAAGUUGAGAGGGAGAGAUUGGCUCAGGAGUUCCUUGAGCUGAAGCAGGAUUCGGAGUCGGUGACUGAGAUCACCAGGAUGUUCACUGAGAGGGCGAUGUUUUGCCCAGAGUUCGCUUCGGAGCAGGCUCAGAUGUCUCGAUAUCUGAGCAUGCUCAAGAGGGAUAUCAGACAGUUUGUGUCUACGCAGAGGUGCGAGACCUUGUUGGAGUUGCAGGAGGCCGCCAGGCGGCGUGAGUUAGAGAUUGAGUUGCAGUUGCGUGAGCUGAGGCAGGCUCCGGUGCAGUCGCAGCCGGCGCCGAAACGGUCCAAGACCGUUGAUGCUAGAGUGGGAGAUCAGAGCAGCCACACUUGUGGGAAGUGUGGGAGGGGUCACACCGGAGUUUGUAGGUCCGGUGGUGCAUGCCGCAAGUGCGGAAAGGAGGGGCAUUAUGCGAGGGAUUGUCGGCAGUCAGCACCAGUUCGGGAUUUGAGGAUCUGCUAUCAUUGUCAUCAGGUUGGACAUUUGAGGGCCAACUGUCCACAGUUUGCUGCAGGAUCAGUGCAGGCUCCAGCACCGGCCACUUUGAGGAUCACAGGUGGAGGUCAGGGUGGAGCGGAGCCCCCAAGGGCUCAGGGUCGUGCUUAUCAGCUGGUGGCAGAGGAGGUCAGAGCAGUGGCGGAUGCAGCUGCGGGUAUGUUUCCUUCUCGAUGUCUUGUUAUCUUGUGAUUAUUGUGGUGUAUUGUUUAUAUGUGUCGGUAUAUUCGUGUGGUUUUCGAUGCGGUAUUCGUCGUUUUGCGGGUUGUGGUUUUGGUUAUGGGUUAUUGUUUUGGGAAUUCGUCGGUUAUCUUCCAUGAGAGUUUUAGUGGGAACCUGGCAUGGGUUUGAAGGUUGGGUAGCAUCGGCUUUCCGAGGAGUGGUUAGAUGCAGUCUGAGUUUUCUUUCGAGCAGGUUGAUCGGUGUUGAUGUGAGAUCUCGAUGAGGUUGUUUAUGCUUGGGAGAAGCAGUCCGCGUGUAAGUGUUUUCUUUGUGCAAGAGUUGUUCUGGAAGGUCGGUGAUGGCGACUGGUGACUGUUAAUCAGUGCUAUAAGUGGGAGAGAAUUGGAGAGUUCUCUGGGAGAUCGAUGAGUAUUUGAGGGUGCUUAGCUGUUGGGAUUCAGCAGUGUUCUGUCAGCUCAGAGUAUAGGCUGAUAGGAGCGAGUGUCGGGCAUGCGGGGCGGGAUACAGACCUAGGGCAUUAGAUUGUGGAGGCCUGGGAGCAGGCCGGGAUCGAGCAUGUGAGUUUCAGGCAGAGUUCGGAACCCUUAAAGGGCUAGAACAGUAUGCAUGGGAGGAUUUCCGGGAGUGUUAGCUCGGAAUGAUGAAUGCUAGUUGAGCGGUCUGGAUAGACUGAAGGCCGGUAGGCGUACCAGUCAGGCCGAAGGCUCGGAGAACGGUCCGGCCAAACUGGAGGCAAUGAGAGCGGUCCAGAUUGGCUGAAGGUUCUGAGAGUGGUCUAGAUGGGCUGAAGGCCUGGUGAGGCAGACCAGUCAUGCUGAAGACUCUGCAGGUAUUGUUGGAUCGGUUCGAGGAUAUGGAUGGUGUAUGUUUAAGUGUGACUGCUUUAGAGGGUCUGGCCCCGGGUAGUGAUCUUAAUUGGUAGAGAGAUUGCAUGGGCUUGAGAGUCCCUGUGAUGAGAGUUAGAGUAUAUGUGUGGGAUGGAUAGCGGUUACGCUAUAAAAAGGGUGGUGUGGCGUUGGGCGAGCACCGUGACACUUGUUGAAGUGGCAAUGUGGCCAAGUGGAUUCUUUGGAAAAGGAAAAGAGAAAGGUGUGUAACUCCGUGAGGGAGUGCAAGCUCGCGGAAGUGAAAGCGGCAGAGCAGAGUUAUGGUUAGAGUAAUUCGAGUAUGGUUGUCGAGCAGUGUGUUUGCGGCAGUGGAAUAGAAGCUCAUCCGGUUUGGGAUGUAUGCUGAGGUCGCGGAGUGNAAUAGGCUCGGGAAGGAUGCAGGGAGAGAGUCUUAAACUCUUAGUGUGAUUCUGAUCAGGGUAUUGGGCAUGUUUUAGUGAUUCAUCCUGGGGGAUGCUGGAGGGUGUCAUCAGUGUAUCGGGUUUUCCCAAACUGAGGGUGCUAGAGCUAGUGCAACAUGUGUAUGUGAUUUCAAGAGGAUGACUUGUGGGGGUUGCUCUGAGAUAGAGAAUGGGUCUUUCCGUCGGCAUGGAAUAGAUAGAGUGGGAUUCGGAUCGGGGAUCCGAUGGUUCGUAGUUUCUUAACCCAUAUGAGCGAGUGAUGGUUGUGAUUUGGAGCAGUGUUACAUCAUGAGUAGUACUCAGUUGUUAAGUGGAGUUAUCAGAGGGUGAGACCGGUGCUCAGUUUGAGACGAUGAUCAGGACACCGUAAGGAAAGAGAAAGUGUGUUUGAGUUUCGAUGGGUACGCCUUGAGGGACUUGGCCCGGAUAAGGCUAGGUGGCGCGUUGUGGGAGUAUCCUUGGGAUUGAAUUGCUGUAGGCUUCGAGGACGAAGCCUAAUUUAAGUGGGGAGAAUUGUAACAUCCCGAAAUAGCUAGAGUAGAGUUGAAGGGCUAAAAGUGCUAAUUGGGAAAGAGGACUCGGCGAGUAGAGUCGCGACUUGGUCGCGUGCUAAGCAGCCGACUCGGCGAGUCAAUGAGAUGGACUCGGCGAGUAGGCGCUGUGNCAAGGAGAUGGACUCGGCGAGUAGGCGCUGUGUGGAGAAAACCCUAAUUCUCGGGGCUGAGCCCUGUAUAAAGAACAUUAUGUUUCCUCCCCAGCCCCUUUAUCACGCCUUUGAGCCCCAGAAACCCUAAAUCGUGAAGAAGCACCAUCGUUGAGUGGAUUGGAGCUUGGAGAAAUAAUUGUUGAAGAAAGUUUGGGAGUUUGAAGGUGUGGAACAAGGGGCUUUGCUUGGAUUCGAGUUUCCUUGCAGUUGGGGCGUUCUUUUGAGGUAAUAUCUCGUUCAUAGGCUAAUGCUAUCUUGUUUCUUCAUUUUGGGGUUUGAGGGAAGCUUAUCUUGGGCUAUAUGGGAGUCUAGAGGUUAGAUCUGAGGUUGCUACCUCAGAUCUGAGAUGGAGAAGGAUCAGAGAGCAUGAAAGUCCCUGUGUUGGAGUAUUUAGUGAAGCCUUCAUGUCCCAAACCCUAGCCCAAUGUGCAAAUGGCCUAGAUCUCUUUGGAUUCACGUAAAGUUUGCCACUUUACGUGAUGGAUGAGUGGUAGGAGGCUAGAUCUAUGUUUUGGAGCAAUUGCAUGGCCUGGAAACGUUCUGUAUGGAUUCA
rnacentral:lncRNA from 1 species